rnacentral:ncRNA from 2 species
AUUUUAUAGAUGCAACCAGGUGCGGCUAUUGCCGCUUAAAAGGGGAAGCUGGUGAAAAUCCAGGACGGUCCCGCCACUGUGACACGAGAUGCAACAUUUAUUCGUGAAGUCAGAUUGCCUGCCUGUUUGUACUGCUUGAC